GAUGAACGCUGGCGACAGGCCUAACACAUGCAAGUCGAGGGGCAGCGGGGAGGUAGCAAUACCUUUGCCGGCGACCGGCGCACGGGUGAGUAACACGUAUGCAAUCCACCUGUAACAGGGGGAUAACCCGGAGAAAUCCGGACUAAUACCCCAUAAUAUGGGCGCUCCGCAUGGAGGCUCAUUAAAGAAGCAAUUUGGUUACAGACGAGCAUGCGCUCCAUUAGCCAGUUGGCGGGGUAACGGCCCACCAAAGCGACGAUGGAUAGGGGUUCUGAGAGGAAGGUCCCCCACAUUGGAACUGAGACACGGUCCAA
rnacentral:rRNA from 1 species